AGCAAUGUCCGACCACCAC
rnacentral:snRNA from 1 species